GACGAACCGUGCGAACGUUGUUCGGAAUCACUGGGCUUAAAGGGCGCGUAGGCGGCUCCGCCAGUCGGGGGUGAAAUCCCACGGCCUAACCGUGGAAGUGCCUCCGAUACUGCGGGGCUGGAGGGAGGUAGGGGCAGCGGGAACUUCGGGUGGAGCGGUGAAAUGCGUUGAUAUCCGAAGGAACGCCGGUGGCGAAAGCGCGCUGCUGGACCUCUUCUGACGCUGAGGAGCGAAAGCGUGGGGAGCGAACAGG
rnacentral:rRNA from 1 species